rnacentral:rRNA from 1 species
UACAGAGGUCUCAAGCGUUGUUCGGAUUCAUUGGGCGUAAAGGGUGCGUAGGCGGCGCGGUAAGUCGGGUGUGAAAUCUUCGGAGCUUAACUCCGAAACUGCAUUCGAUACUGCCGUGCUUGAGGACUGGAGAGGAGACUGGAAUUUACGGUGUAGCGGUGAAAUGCGUAGAUAUCGUAAGGAAGACCAGUGGCGAAGGCGGGUCUCUGGACAGUUCCUGACGCUGAGGCACGAAGGUCAGGGGAGCAAACGGG